CAGGUAAUUUAUUCUAAUUUAAAGCAGGAAAACAAAGUUUGUACGGUGUGUUAAUCAUGCAAAUAUGACUUGAAGGCAAAACACUCAGGUAUCAAUAACAUCCACCACGACUAUGUGGGUAAGUAAAUAAAAGCUGGAUAUAGUAGAGACAACAGGAAAACCAAUAGUCCCUGAGGUCUUUGAUGCAGUCUAACGUUGACCUCCGUUAGAAGAAUUACAUCCAAAUAGCAUAAAUACAUACUUAUUAAAACCUAGGUACUGUAAUCAUAAUGAUAAUGGAUUCGGGUUAGUUACUUAUAAAUACCUAGGUACUGUAAUCAUAAUGAUAAUGGAUUAGGGUUAGUUACUUAUUAAAACCUAGGUACUGUAAUCAUAAUGAUAAUGGAUGAGGGUUAGUUACUUAUUAAAACCUAGGUACUGUAAUCAUAAUGAUAAUGGAUUAGGGUUAGUUACUUAUUAAAACCUAGGUACUGUAAUCAUAAUGAUAAUGGAUUAGGGUUAGUUACUUAUUAAAACCUAGGUGCUGUAAUCAUAAUGAUAAUGGAUUAGGGUUAGUUACUUAUUAAAACCUAGGUGCUGUAAUCAUAAUGAUAAUGGAUUAGGGUUAGUUACUUAUUAAAACCUAGGUGCUGUAAUCAUAAUGAUAAUGGAUUAGGGUUAGUUACUUAUUAAAACCUAGGUGCUGUAAUCAUAAUGAUAAUGGAUUAGGGUUAGUUACUUAUUAAAACCUAGGUACUGUAAUCAUAGUGAUAAUGGAUUAGGGUUAG